CCUACGGGGCGCAGCAGUCGGGAAUAUUGCGCAAUGGAGGAAACUCUGACGCAGUGACGCCGCGUGCAGGAAGAAGGUUUUCGGAUUGUAAACUGCUUUAGACAGGGAAGAAACAAGACAGUACCUGUAGAAUAAGCUCCGGCUAACUACGUGCCAGCAGCCGCGGUAAUACGUAGGGAGCAAGCGUUAUCCGGAUUUACUGGGUGUAAAGGGAGCGUAGACGGCUGUGCAAGUCUGAAGUGAAAUGCCGGGGCCCAACCCCGGAACUGCUUUGGAAACUGUACAGCUAGAGUGCA
rnacentral:rRNA from 1 species